rnacentral:rRNA from 1 species
GACAGAGGUGCCGAGCGUUAGGCGGAAUCACUGGGCUUAAAGCGUGUGUAGGCGGCGGCGUAAGUACCUUGUGAAAUCCCACGGCUCAACCGUGGAACCGCUGGGUAUACUGGUUGUCUUGAGCCGGCUAGGGGCGAGCGGAACAGACGGUGGAGCGGUGAAAUGCGUAGAUAUCGUCUGGAACGCCGAAGGUGAAAACAGCUCGCUGGGGCCGCGCUGACGCUGAGACACGAAAGCCAGGGGAGCGAACGGG